AACCUUUGAGCUAAGCGGG
rnacentral:tRNA from 2 species